UCAACCUGAGAGUUUGAUCCUGGCUCAGAGCGAACGCUGGCGGCAGGCUUAACACAUGCAAGUCGAACGGAUCCUUCGGGAUUAGUGGCGGACGGGUGAGUAACACGUGGGAACGUGCCCUUAGGUUCGGAACAACACAGGGAAACUUGUGCUAAUACCGGAUGUGCCUCGUAAGAGGGAAAGAUUUAUCGCCUUUGGAGCGGCCCGCGUCUGAUUAGCUUGUUGGUGAGGUAAAGGCUCACCAAGGCUACGAUCAGUAGCUGGUCUGAGAGGAUGGCCAGCCACAUUGGGACUGAGACACGGCCCAAACUCCUACGGGAGGCAGCAGUGGGGAAUCUUGCGCAAUGGGCGAAAGCCUGACGCAGCCAUGCCGCGU
rnacentral:rRNA from 1 species